ensembl:lncRNA PCBP1-AS1 PCBP1 antisense RNA 1
UCCACCGCGGCACCCUUUUCCGACAUUAGAAACAAUAGUGUACGCCUGUGGAGGCCUCGUUUGUUCAGGGGCUGCCGGCCAGGGCUUCAGGACGUUUCUGCGGCUUUCCCCGCGCGGCCUGGGCUCCCGCGGCUGCUUUUCGGGCCCAUGGGCGCAGCCACUGCGCCAGGCUCAAGGGGGGCGGCCCCGUCAGGGCCCGCCAUCUUGGAAGGCCUUUUUUGCCGGUUCUUCCCGCUGAGGAAGUGUCGCUCAAGACGCUGGCCUAUGAGUUGUGAUUUCUGCCUUUUCCCCUUCCUCCUUGGGCUAAGCCAGACCAGAAAGGGCCCCGUGCGCAACGUGCUUCACAAUCUCUCAGGGAAAGCGGCUAACGUGGCGCUACUCCGCCUCCCCUGUUCCUUACCCUUGGGGCGGCCGCCAUGUUUCCUGAACACAAAAUGGCGACACGUGGUUAGCAUUCGUCGCCAACGAGAAAUUGGGGUCGGCCCGAAAGCUCUAGAAUGCACCCCUCUUCCUCCCCGGGGCCUUCCACCUCCGCGAGUUUUAUGACUUAAAAAAGCCCACAGGCUGGUCUGAAGGUCGGAGGCCUAAUUUUAACGCGUUUUCCUCCCUUUAAUUUGAAACGGGAACGCGAAUGACUGUAAAAUGUGGGCACAAUAUUUAAUCUCUCGCCUUUUUAAAGCUUAAUAGUGGAUAAUAGGGGGGCAGUAUCAAGGGAUAAUUUGGGUCCCCACAGUACCAAAGCAUUUAGAAACCUCUGUUUAAUUUAAGGAAUGAGAUAAGUUACUGCUUUUCUAGACUUCCUAGCAUGGGCUGUUGUGCUGGAGAGAACGAGAGCUACGAAGAGACUACAGUGCCUCUGACUUUUUCAUAGGACAGUUGGCCGAGGAAGACAAACAUAAAGAUGAAGUGCUUAAUUCAAGGUCACACAAUGUCGGGGAUGGACCUCCAGAUUUCCUUACUGACCUGCAUUAUCUUGUGGAUACCUGAGUGAAUUCCACACCACCCAUUUUAUAGAUGAAACCACUGAGACAUGGAGCAAUUGACUGAGUAGUCACUGCCCCACCCCUGCCUGGAGCCUCACACAUGACUCGCCUCCUCUCAGUGACCACAGGUGAGACGUGGUCUUGUAACACAGUGGUUAAGAAUGUGACUUUGGAGCCAGCCUGCUAGGGGCUGAAUUCUGACUCAGCCAUUUACUAACUGUGUGACCUUAGGGAGGAGGACCUGGUUGAUAGAAGAAUUUAUCUCGUAGUCUUAACAUCCACUGUAAUUCCAAACUUUGAGGACGAUAGAGAUCAGUGGGCUUUGACUGCCCAGCAUGCAGUCUCCAUUCUUAGGUGGGUUCCCAAGCCUGUAAAAUGUAAGCCUUAUGCUGCUGAGGGCCAUCUUGCCACCCUGAGGGAAACGCUGCCUGAGAAUGAAACAAGCAUAAGUAAAAGCUGAGCUGUGAGAUGGAGCAAGAUGAAGGCCACAUGACAUCUUUGGAGCACCUGGAUCUAACUGUGCCUUAAGCUAGUCUAACCCUGAACAUUUCAUCAUUUCAUUGACAUGAGCCCAGGUUUUCUUUUUUUUUGGAUGGAGUCUUGCUCUGUCGCCCAGGCUGGAGUGCAGUAGCUCAAUCUCGGCUCACUGCAAGCUCCACCUCCCGGGUUCACGCCAUUCUCCUGCCUUAGCCUCCCAAGUAGCUGGGACAACAGGCGCCCACCACCACUCCCAGCUAAUUUUUUGUAUUUUUAGUAGAGACGGGGUUUUACCAUGUUAGCCGGGAUGGUCUUGAUCUCCUGACCUCAUGAUCCGCCCGCCUCGGCCUCCCAAAGUGCUGGGAUUACAGGUGUGAGCCACUGCACCCAGCCCUCAGGUUUUCCCUUUUUUUACCCCUCCUUUUGAAAAUUUGAUGUGGAAUUUUGCCACCUGCAGCCAGAAGAGUUUUAACUAAUCAGUGCCAUAAAUUUUAUAUAGUUCUCCUUGCAAAAUGUGGAUCAGCCUUUCUCAGCAAAUCCUUUGUCAUAAAGUGCUGAAUUGUAAGUUUGUCAUGAGAAUCACAUGAGAUCAUGCAUGUGAAGAACCUGGCAUUAUCCUCCUCAUAGAAAAAAACCAGUAAAUAUUAACUACAGGAAGCAAGGAAGGAGUGGGGUGAGGGGAAGAAGAAGGGGUACUGAUUUAAAAGAACCCUGGAGUCCUAAGGAUAAUCUAGGAACCCUCAGACCCAAUCCGAUACCCCUAUUCUAAAUGCUCCUAGUGCCCUGUACCUUCCCCUCAUAAGCCUUCAUUAUCAUUGUAAUGAUAUGUUUAUGUAAUAUUUUGAUUAAUGUCUCUCCUUCACUGACCUAGCAGUUCUAGCAGGGCAGUGAUUUUGCUGUGUUGCAUCCCCAGCACCUAGUCUGGUAUGUGGCAUUCAGCAUAUGUUUAUUGAAUGAAUGGCCAUGUGGUUAUUCAGAUCCUCCUUGAUUAUUGGGGUUAGGAUUGUGGCAGAAGUGGCAAAAUCAGGGAGAGUAGUCCCUGUCCCCUCUGUAUCUUAUACACUGCCCACACUCCCAACACACAUACACAUACAGAGAAUUUUGUCUCAAUUAGAUAAUUAACUUCUGCUUGGUUGUAAACCAAACCACUGGUUCUUAAACUUUCAUUGGAUCAUUUUAUUGAAGAAUUAAAUAGUGUGGUUCUGGCCUAAUGUCUGGAAAGCCUUGCAGAGGAGUGGAUUAGGUCUUUGUGAUAAACAGGCAGCCUUCCCUGCUCCUGUGUCUUUAUAAAAUCUAUUUAACUGGAGUAGUCCACCCUCCCUCAGGCUCUUACAGGAAUAUGUUGGAGGCUGUAGGAAGGUGGGAAACCGAGAGGGAAAGGACUGGGCCGCUGGAGACUUCACUCAUUCCCUAGCAAGAAACAAAAGCAGUAAAAGGUGGCCCGAGGACAACCUGAAGCUCACUCCUUCAGCACUUUUGGCUGGAGGUCACUUGUUGGAGCCCCACUCAGAGCUCAGCACACCACCCCACCAGCAGCCUCCUCCUCCCAGCUGAGGCUGCAUUUCAUCCCUUCCCCCAGCCUGCUUUCCCUGAGAUAGGGGAGUGUUUCCCAGGGCCCAUGUGACUUCCACUGGCAAGUGACGAUUACCAAUGGUUUACUAGUCAGUGAAACUACCAAAGGCUUUUGUGCUGUAGUAAUCCUUUUCCUGUUUAAAACUCUGGGGAUUUUCUAAUGUUGCCAAUAGUUUUUCAAGUCAGCAAUUACUGUGUGGAUUAUGUAAUGGCUCGGUAUUA